rnacentral:rRNA from 1 species
AUUUAUUAAUAGUUUUUUGUUUAAUUAUGUUGUAUUAUUAAAUUAAAUAUUUUGUUGGGGUGAGAAAAAUAUAUAAUUAAGUUUUUUAUUUAGUUUAGAUUGAUUUAUGAUUAUUAGAUGGAAUGUUAUUGAUUGAUAGAAUAAGUUAGGUUAGGGAUAAGAGGGUAAUUUUUGUGGAGAGUUGAUAUUUAGAGAGAAGUUUGGGAGGUGGAUGUUGGAUUAAGAUAAUAAUUAGGUGUAGGGGGU